CAGCAGCCGCGGGAAAACGUAGGGUGCAAGCGUUAAUCGGAAUUACUGGGCGUAAAGCGUGCGCAGGCGGUUAUAUAAGACAGAUGUGAAAUCCCCGGGCUCAACCUGGGAACUGCAUUUGUGACUGUAUAGCUAGAGUACGGCAGAGGGGGAUGGAAUUCCGCGUGUAGCAGUGAAAUGCGUAGAUAUGCGGAGGAACACCGAUGGCGAAGGCAAUCCCCUGGGCCUGUACUGACGCUCAUGCACGAAAGCGUGGGGAGCAAACAGGAUUAGAUACCCGCGUAGUCCCUGUCUCUUAUAC
rnacentral:rRNA from 1 species